rfam:Triticum aestivum genome assembly, contig: Triticum_aestivum_CS42_TGACv1_scaffold_272121_3DS
UAGCUACUCCCUCCGUUCUAAAUUACUUAUCAAACGAAUUGAUGUAUCUAGACGUAUUUUAAUUCUAGAUACAUCCAUUUUUAUCCUUUUUGCGAUAACUAAUUCCGGACGGAGGGAGUAGGUC